AGAGUUUGAUCAUGGCUCAGAUUGAACGCUGGCGGCAGGCCUAACACAUGCAAGUCGAACGGUAACAGGAAACAGCUUGCUGUUUCGCUGACGAGUGGCGGACGGGUGAGUAAUGUCUGGGAAACUGCCUGAUGGAGGGGGAUAACUACUGGAAACGGUAGCUAAUACCGCAUAACGUCGCAAGACCAAAGAGGGGGACCUUCGGGCCUCUUGCCAUCAGAUGUGCCCAGAUGGGAUUAGCUAGUAGGUGGGGUAACGGCUCACCUAGGCGACGAUCCCUAGCUGGUCUGAGAGGAUGACCAGCCACACUGGAACUGAGACACGGUCCAGCCUCCUACGGGAGGCAGCAGUGGGGAAUAUUGCACAAUGGGCGCAAGCCUGAUGCAGCCAUGCCGCGUGUAUGAAGAAGGCCUUCGGGUUGUAAAGUACUUUCAGCGGGGAGGAAGGGAGUAAAGUUAAUACCUUUGCUCAUUGACGUUACCCGCAGAAGAAGCACCGGCUAACUCCGUGCCAGCAGCCGCGGUAAUACGGAGGGUGCAAGCGUUAAUCGGAAUUACUGGGCGUAAAGCGCACGCAGGCGGUUUGUUAAGUCAGAUGUGAAAUCCCCGGGCUCAACCUGGGAACUGCAUCUGAUACUGGCAAGCUUGAGUCUCGUAGAGGGGGGUAGAAUUCCAGGUGUAGCGGUGAAAUGCGUAGAGAUCUGGAGGAAUACCGGUGGCGAAGGCGGCCCCCUGGACGAAGACUGACGCUCAGGUGCGAAAGCGUGGGGAGCAAACAGGAUUAGAUACCCUGGUAGUCCACGCCGUAAACGAUGUCGACUUGGAGGUUGUGCCCUUGAGGCGUGGCUUCCGGAGCUAACGCGUUAAGUCGACCGCCUGGGGAGUACGGCCGCAAGGUUAAAACUCAAAUGAAUUGACGGGGGCCCGCACAAGCGGUGGAGCAUGUGGUUUAAUUCGAUGCAACGCGAAGAACCUUACCUGGUCUUGACAUCCACGGAAGUUUUCAGAGAUGAGAAUGUGCCUUCGGGAACCGUGAGACAGGUGCUGCAUGGCUGUCGUCAGCUCGUGUUGUGAAAUGUUGGGUUAAGUCCCGCAACGAGCGCAACCCUUAUCCUUUGUUGCCAGCGGUCCGGCCGGGAACUCAAAGGAGACUGCCAGUGAUAAACUGGAGGAAGGUGGGGAUGACGUCAAGUCAUCAUGGCCCUUACGACCAGGGCUACACACGUGCUACAAUGGCGCAUACAAAGAGAAGCGACCUCGCGAGAGCAAGCGGACCUCAUAAAGUGCGUCGUAGUCCGGAUUGGAGUCUGCAACUCGACUCCAUGAAGUCGGAAUCGCUAGUAAUCGUGGAUCAGAAUGCCACGGUGAAUACGUUCCCGGGCCUUGUACACACCGCCCGUCACACCAUGGGAGUGGGUUGCAAAAGAAGUAGGUAGCUUAACCUUCGGGAGGGCGCUUACCACUUUGUGAUUCAUGACUGGGGUGAAGUCGUAACAAGGUAACCGUAGGGGAACCUGCGGUUG
rnacentral:rRNA from 1 species